rnacentral:tmRNA from 2 species
GGGGAUGCACUGGUUUCGACGGGGCUUCUGAUGUCGGGAAAGCGGGUGGAGGAUCCUCGUUGUGCCUCCUUAAAAAACGAGGAAUUGCAAGUAAUUGCAGACACAACAGAGCUCGUAGCAGCCUAAGGCUACCGUCCUCCCGCCUAUCUUCUCGCGGGAGAGUACGUACACCGAAGACCUCGCCUGAGAGAGGUUAAGCAGGCAGUCCUACCGGUUAAGCUUUGCGCCGGCUAGUGACUUUAAUCUUAUGAAGCUACUGGAACCGACGCCCGUCGAUGGGCCACGCGGGAAUAGGAAUAAUUCAUCCGUCGACUGCACCCGGAGAUUGUCCCGGAGGACGAGGUUUCGGACAGGAGUUCGAUUCUCCUCAUCUCCACCA